AUAAAAGCAAUGACAGAGAGAAAAAUGUAGGAAUUUAUUUUAGAGAAUCGGGGAAGGUGAAAGCCGAUAUAAAGGAAUACAUAUAAUAUUCACUCUAAAGCUUAACAGUAGAAUUUCAGUAGACUGUUACGGUGGCCUCCGUUAUCAUGGGAUAUAAGUUAUAUGACUUUGAGAGAUAAUCUUUUGAUUAUGAAAAUAGGUGGUACCACGAUCCUUCGUCCUAUAU
rnacentral:ncRNA from 1 species